rnacentral:rRNA from 1 species
UACGAAGGGGGCUAGCGUUGUUCGGAAUCACUGGGCGUAAAGGGCGCGUAGGCGGUCAGCACAAGUCAGUUGUGAAAUCUCCGGGCUUAACUCGGAAAGGUCAACUGAUACUGUGCGACUAGAGUGCGGAAGGGGCAACUGGAAUUCUCGGUGUAGCGGUGAAAUGCGUAGAUAUCGAGAGGAACACCUGCGGCGAAAGCGGCGAUCUGGGCGAAUAUUGACGCUGAGGUGCGAAAGCGUGGGGAGCAAACAGG